UCUCCCUGUGCUCGCUCUCUAUUGGCCCAUUCCGCUGCAACUGCCUCAGGCCAGGAGAGAGGAGCAUGCAAGCUCUGUGGAGCCACAUCCCUGCCAAGCGUGCUAAGGAAGGUUCAUCCCCCAUGGCCUGUCUCUGUCUGCCUUCCAGGCACUUCAGCUUGCCACCUCGCUGGAGCUUCUCCAGCUGAUCUGUUUGUAUGAUCUUAUGUAGACUUACUUCUGUACAUGUGACCAGCUACAGCUUUGAUCAUUGAGGAUAAAUUCUCCCUUACCUGGAGAGUGUUGAUGGAGGAUGCUGGGACCCUCUGCCUUUUGAUCAUGCCUUGGUCUUUUCCAUGACCAGCCUCUUUGAUGAAGGAGGCCCUCAUUCACAAGUCAGAAAUGAGGGACUGUGGAUUCAUUCUGGGCUAAGAAAAAUCAGGUUUGACCAAGGA